GGGCUUGUGGUUUAGUGGUAUAAUACUCCCUUAGCACGGGAGUGGUCCGGGGUUCGAUUCCCCGCGAGUCCA
rnacentral:tRNA from 1 species